rnacentral:rRNA from 1 species
GUAGGGAAUAUUGGGCAAUGGAUGCAAGUCUGACCCAGCCAUCCCGCGUGCCGAAAGAAGGCCCUCAGGGUUGUAAACGGCUUUUGACGGUGAAGAAUCGACAGGAUGCGUCCUGUUUUGACGGUAGCCGUUGAAUAAGCACCGGCUAACUCCGUGCCAGCAGCCGCGGUAAUACGGAGGGUGCGAGCGUUGUCCGGAUUUAUUGGGUUUAAAGGGUGCGUAGGCUGGAAGGUCAGUCAGCGGUGAAAAGCUGUCGCUUAACGAUAGUAUUGCCGCAGAUACUUCCUUUCUUGGAUGAGGAGGAGGCCACUGGAACGGAUGGUGUAGCGGUGAAAUGCAUAGAUAUCAUCCAGAACACCGAUUGCGAAGGCAGGUGGCUGUACCUUAAUCGACGCUGAUGCACGAAAGCAUGGGGAGCAAACAGGAUUAGAUACCCCAGUAGUCC